rnacentral:rRNA from 1 species
GAUGAACGCUGGCGGCGUGCCUAAUACAUGCAAGUCGAGCGAACAGACGAGGAGCUUGCUCCUCUGACGUUAGCGGCGGACGGGUGAGUAACACGUGGAUAACCUACCUAUAAGACUGGGAUAACUUCGGGAAACCGGAGCUAAUACCGGAUAAUAUAUUGAACCGCAUGGUUCAAUAGUGAAAGACGGUUUUGCUGUCACUUAUAGAUGGAUCCGCGCCGCAUUAGCUAGUUGGUAAGGUAACGGCUUACCAAGGCAACGAUGCGUAGCCGACCUGAGAGGGUGAUCGGCCACACUGGAACUGAGACACGGUCCAGACUCCUACGGGAGGAAGCAGUAGGGAAUCUUCCGCAAUGGGCGAAAGCCUGACGGAGCAACGCCGCGUGAGUGAUGAAGGUCUUCGGAUCGUAAAACGCUGUUAUUAGGGAAGAACAAAUGUGUAAGUAACUAUGCACGUCUUGACGGUACCUAAUCAGAAAGCCACGGCUAACUACGUG